GUUCGCUACUACUUUCUCGGAUCGGGUUCGGUUCGGUUCUUCGGAUUCGGUUUUUCUGCCCCGGUGUAAAUCUGCCCGUGACAGUUUUUUUUUUCUUUUUUACAAAAAGAAAAAGGACGAAUACAAAACCGGCGAGCUUGGCAACUCUCGGAAACUAAGCCAGAGGAUAUGAGGAAUCUACCAUAGUUCUCAUAAAAACCGGAUAAACUUUUAUUGGAACUCCUGAUUAUUUAUUAGAUAUCAUGUAUGGUGUGUAUUUCACCGAUGAGUGAAAGGGAAAAUAAAAAUAUAAGGCUUGGAGUUGAAUUUAUUAGGUUUAACAAAAGACGGAAAUCGGGUAAUAGGUCAUUAGAAUUUUGGACUAUUGGAUAUGUUUUGAAGUGUAAAGUUAUCCAUCUAUCUAUAAUAAUAAAACAGAGUUAUCUCUCACAUCAUGCGUCCACGUCAGCAAGCACAUAUAGGCAUUUUGUGCCACCUGUCACAUAAAAAAACAACUUUCCUAAUUUUUAGUUCGCAAGAUAAUUCUGAAAAAUAUUAUGGGCUAAUAUCAGGUUUGUUUGUUCAAGCCCAUUUGUUUGUCUGUCAAGCACAUGACGUCUUUCAUCCUAGCCGCCUCCGAUUAGAUUCUUGUAACGUCUUCUCUUUCCCAUUAAUUUUUUCCUUUAAUCAGACCAUUAACAUCGUCAUCCCACUCGCUGCAUUAUUAAUUCGAGCUCAGACUCUUCGUUACCUAACCGGCGAAAGAUUUGGUUUCGUCGAUCGACCUUGACUCGACUUGGGUUUGUGCUUUCAGUCCGUAUAAAGAACACCUUGCCUCUCUUCUCCUUCUGCCAUGUCACUAAAUAGGAAGAGGAGAGCCUUCCACGUGUCUCACUCCACACAGAACUCACCGUUUCAAUAAUUCAAAGUCAUCGUUUCCUUUGCGCGGCUUUAAUAUUAACUGUUGAUUUGGGCUACGAAAUAUUUUCAAAUGGGCUCUAAUACACAGAACUCACACGUAAGGGAAUACGUAUGGUCGUCUCCCGCUUCCCUUACGCGAUCCCGACUCUUCCCGGAGGGAAGAAGCCUCCUUUUGUUUCUGUAUUCCUGAAGCCGUUGGGGAACACGCUUUUGACAGAUCAGAGUGGCGUUGUAUUUCCUGGCGGCGACUGAUGUUGCGGAGGAUCCGGUUUAAGGCUGGUGCUUCUUCCUAGGCUGGUUGUGAACGGAAGCCUGAUGGUGCUGAUGGAGCUCCGAUGAAUUGAAAUGGCUUGCGGAUUGCUUAGUUAUCUUUUUCAGUAGUGAAGAUUGGGCAGCAGCCGAAGCCUUGGGGAAGUUAGCCUACGGUGGAAAGAAAUGAUCUUUCCUCCAUUAGCUUUGUUUGGAUGCGUUACUUCAUUUUAGGUGAUGCAAGUUCAGUUCCAUCGCAUACAAAAUCACACCUAAGAAAACUUUACAUGUUUUGGUCUUCUUUCGGUAUUUGCAAUGACAGCAGACGCAUGAGAGAUGUAUAGUGUGGAAUGGAUGGGUUUGUAUAAAGUUCUCUUCUCUUUAGAAUUUGAUACCCCCGAGCCUUUUGAAUUCUCGGAUAGAUGGCGGUGAAGGAGUGAGAGCAGGUCGCAUGUGGAAUUGGUGUCCGUCUACACGGAUUAAUUUGUCUCUUAAUUUUGUCUUUAGAACUGCAAAUAAUGGAGCUUUUGUUCAGCACUUGAUAUGAAGGGUCUUUAGAAACAUUACGUGAUUAAGGCAGGGGAAGAAGAUUUUGGAGGAGAGAUGGAUCAGGUCAAGCUGAGGUUGAGUUUGAGUUUCUUCAGAUUGGUCAAGAACAAGAGGAUAACUAUUCCAAUCUCAUGGUAAAUUACUUUGACAUUAAAGUCCUUACAGCUUUUAUGGGAGACAUAUUGAUGUUCAUAUGCCUUAUCAUGAUCUUAGUGUCGUUGAUGUCUUUUCUGCUGUUGUCCGUCAAGUGACAGCUUUUAUGGUUUGUAUUAUCGGUUUUUAUUGGGAUUUAACGGUUUUUGGUUUUAUCUAUUUAAUAGAUAAACUGAAUGAAGUGCGAAACCAUUUGUAAAUCGUUUUAGUUUCUACUCUGAUUAAUUUGAUGUCAUAUUCAGUUUGGUAUGGGAACUGCAUAUGUAACAAAUGAUACUAUAAUAGUUAAUAUUGUAUUUGU